CUUAAGUAUGGGAAGAAUUCGAUCAAGUUGCUGUCACAAAUAAAUUGAAAUCGAAAGUUUUUCGAUAAAAACAAUUUUCAAAUAAUUUGAAGAGAACGCACAAAACUUUGAGGACUUUGACUUUGGGAAAUUAAAAACGUAAAAUAACUUUGGCAUCGACGACUGGAACUGAAGUGAAAUAAAACUUCACACCAUUUGCCCGAGAUCCCAGCACCUGUCCGCGUUCCCGCCUCCUGCCCCUGCUUGAUGCCAGCUGUCGAAGCAGCUGCUGCUGCUUAGCAAUGAAUGAAAUGCAAUUAAGUUGAUGUCGAUACAUGUUUAUAGUGGCUGGCUGGAUGCUUGAAUGCAUGCCUGACUGACAAAGCCACACGGAGCUAUUUUAGGCCACAACAACAACAACAACAACCGAAGCAACAACAACGACAACGUCAAGUACAAGUAUAGAACCUAUGAAUUGGCGAAGUGCAAAUGAAUUUCCAGCACUAAUGACGAGUGCUAUUGAGUUCGAGCUUUGGAUGUAGCUAUGCGAGAGUGUGCGCAUUUGAGCUCAUGCGGCAUGCACACAAGCAGAGCUCACCUUUAUUUUGACUGUUAAUUAAGCGAGUGCCGAAGUGACUUGCUGCUAACAAAAGCUGUCA